AAGAUGGAGCAAGUACCCAUGGCACAAGAAGAAUCAGAAUUUAGACCAGAAAUCCCAGGUGAAGCACAUGCAGAAAUAAAUUAUCAGUUUUAUAGACAAUUGCUUUACCUGACUUAUUUAAUAGAGAGCACUGACAGCAUUGUCUCAGGAGCCACAUGUAGAUAAACACAAGUGAACCUCAAGCAGAAGUAGAUUGACAGAUUUUGAUUGGUAAUAUUGAGAACCUUCUUGGAAGUGCAGAAUAUGAAAGUAGCACAUUAGAGAUUAAAGUAUUUCAACUGGAUGAAAAAUGAUCCCAUCUUGACAGAUGACAGAAGUAAUUUUUAUUCAGAGUAAUUCCGUCACCUUCAUGCAUAGUCAACAAUCAGUUAAGCCUCAAAUUCAGUAAAACAAAACCCUUUCACAUAAUUGUGAUGUUUGAAGGUCCUUACUCCAGCUCCAGCACUUUCUCUUAAGAAUCAGUCCCUUGAAAAUUCAAGGUCUCAAAUAUGUAUUUUCCAGCCAGACAUCCUCUUUUAUUUCCCUCUUAUACACUCAGAAAUUUCUGUUGCUCUCAUGUUUUGUUUAGCCACUUAAAAUUCAUACUAUUUUAUUCCACAGUUAAUUGUUUCACUUUCUUUAUAAAAACAUACUGUAUUCUAUGAGGUUUUUCAGAGCUUGAAGGAUUAAUAGAGGAAGAAAUCAUUAUCGAAAUAAAUAGGGAAACAAUAUUGAAUGACAAGCAGUGAAUUUAUAGAAGAGCAGAACUCCUCAACAAAAAGCUUCAAGUAUGUUUUAUUGAAAAAGGACAUGAUUUUGGUGGAUUAACCAGGGAUCUUUUUUCUUGUUUUUGGAUCUGUGCCUUCUCUGAGUGGUUUAAGGAUGAGGAUGUUCUUGUACCUUGUAUACCUCUCUAUCAGUAUCAUAAAGCACAAUAAAUCUUUACAGUUU